UACGAAGGGUGCGAGCGUUGUUCGGAAUUAUUGGGCGUAAAGCGCACGUAGGCGGCUUUGUAAGUCUCACUGUGAAAGCCCGGGGCUCAACCCCGGGAGGCCAGGGGAUACUGCGAGGCUGGAGACAAGCAGAGGUUGGUAGAAUUCCGGGUGUAGCGGUGGAAUGCGUAGAGAUCCGGAGGAAUACCAGAGGCGAAGGCGGCCAACUGGGCUUGAUCUGACGCUGAGGUGCGAAAGCGUGGGGAGCGAACAGGAUUAGAUACCCGCGUAGUCC
rnacentral:rRNA from 1 species